rnacentral:rRNA from 1 species
UACGUAGGGGGCGAGCGUUGUCCGGAAUGAUUGGGCGUAAAGGGCGCGUAGGCGGCUGAUCAAGUCAGCAGUGGAAGUCCAGCUUUCAAGGUUGGAAGUGCUAUUGAAACUGAUUAGCUUGAGUGCAGGAGAGGUUAUCGGAAUUCCCGGUGUAGCGGUGAAAUGCGUAGAGAUCGGGAGGAACACCAGUGGCGAAGGCGGGUAACUGGACUGCAACUGACGCUGAGGCGCGAAAGUGUGGGGAGCAAACAGG